CAAACUUCGUUUCAAACAAAUACGAUACGGGCGUAUGUGUCAUAAGGAACAUGCAGUGUUAUCGGGAACCUUAGUUUGAACAUGUAUGUGAAGUUUCAAUCCAACAAGGAGAGGAGUGAAAUAGCACUAGGAUUUUUGAAAAACCAGAAAAAAAUGAGGAACUGAAGUCAGUUGCUGCAACCGUUGGUCUGUCUGUGAAAGAUCUUAUGCAGGAGGAUGUUUGUACUGUGGAGGGAAAAAAACAGACGAAUUAUAAUGAAGGAGGUGGAUAUGUUAUUCCUUCAAAAGACGCUCGAGGGGGGAAAAAACACUCAUUCCUACCGGGUGAAAACUGCGAUCUGACUGCAGUUACGAUUACGAGGUAAUUGAAUCCAAUGAGGCUUAUUAGUCCCUUAUGGUACUCUGUAAGAGGGUAAAAAUUGAUCAACUAAUUCCUUACCAUCCUUUGGUUAAUAGGUAACACAAUUUACGGAAACAUGUACAAGAAUUUGCUAGUACGUCGUUUAUGACUGGGAAAGAUUAUAAGUUAAUAUGUGACCAAGUAUAAAAUAAAUACACUGUAAAUGAAGAAGGAUUUAGCCUGAGAAACCCAGAAACGCCUUGUUACCUUAUUUGAAGCGACAAAGAGGACAUAAUCUCACAGUACAUUGAUUGCGCAAUCAGUAUACUCUCAAACAAGUAUAUGUGCAUGGUGGAUUGGAUACUGUAUGAUGUGGAAUGUAAUCAUAUUUAUGCCCUCUCAUUCGGACCUAAUCAAAUAUAC